UUUUUUUUUCUGUAGACUCCAUGCAGAAUUUGAGCUUUAUGUAGUAUAAGAAGGAGUCCAAUGGACAUGAAUAUUGUGAAUUAAAGCAGUGAUGUACUAUUGAAUGGGACAUUCAGGUAAAAAUUAUUCCUGGGUGAAAAAUACAAAGAAGCAUAGAAUAGUUUUCUUAUAAAGUGGCUGGAUUGAACAGAACAGCCCUUGAAGCAAAGAAACCUCUGAGAUGGAAUUAUUUAUUUUUUAAUAAGGGAUGAAAGACUGAGGCCGGUAGAAAUCCAAGUAAAAUUCAAGAAGAAGACCAAGAAAGGGGUGUUUCAAUUUGAAUUUCCUCCACUCAUCUUGACAACAUGUUUGUGUUAUUCUCAUUGGAGAGCAGCUAGCUCUUGGACAAUGGUGGGAGGGGAGAUAACAGAAGCAUGCUAACAACGCAGCACUUGAAAUCAGGCAUGGUAAGACCAGUGUGCUGCUCUGCCAGUGCUGAGUGGAAUCUAAAUUUAGGGAUGCACAUGAGUUAUGGGGCAUAGUGUCAUGGGAAUGCUGCACAGGAACUGGAAGAAGAGAGUCCUCUUGGAGCUUCUUUACCAUAUUGCGCCAGAUGGUCCACGUUCUUAUGGAAAGUCUGAUUCUGGAAGGAAUUGUCAGCUCAUCCCAUCCCAUCGGAGAAACUGAGUGAUUAUAGACUCCUUUUUCAUGGCUCUGUUGCAUUAAGCACCAGAACUCUUUGCUAAUAGCAUGGGCCAUAUGUUGCCCUCACUAAACAGCACAGUGUGGAGCAGAGGAAUAAGAAUACAAGUGAGAUGAAGCCAGAGUAUGCACGACAAGUCAAAAUAGAGGACAGACCAACUUCCAUAACAAGACGAGCAACAGAAACUCCACUGGAUAAUGGUGAAUGACACAUGGGAGUACAGCCUUUGAAAGCCCAGAUUAACUUAAUCCCAGCAUUUCAGACUGGUGAAUAUUCCAAUUGGAUAUGGAGAAAAAUAAUGCCAUCACAGAGUGCAAUAUGUGGAAAUACCAUUCCUGUGACUGUUCAUUUCCUCAUAUCCAUAUACCAGUUACUUAAAUGGAAGGAAUCCUGUAGUCCUAAAGCACCAACACUCUGUUACAGUUUCUCAUUUAUCUUCAGAUAAAUCUCAUUCUUUUCAGAUGUGACAUCAUUCUCUAGUGAUAGUAAAAAUAAUUCGAAUAAAGUAAUUGUCUUUGCAGAGCCAUUUGUUAUGAUAAGUGAAUUCCAAUCAAAUGUUUAAUGAAUGUUGGAACAAGACAUGGAUAAGCAGAAUGAGGCAAGACUGCCAAAUAUGCUUUUAGAGGACUGAAAACAUAAUGGAGUCCAACCACUUUGCCCAGGCUUACAGUUUUGAUGAGUAAGUUGCUACAAGUUAAAGGGAAGAUGUUGUAUCCUUUAAAGAAGUUAUUUUUAGGACAAAGGGUCUUGGGAUUCACUGUCAUAAGUUUUAACUCUUGUGGUCAAGUCAUCCUACAUGAUUUUUGGAUAAUACUGGGUGUAUUGAAGGAGAAAGUGAAACAAUAGGAAUGAAGGUGAGUUGUCAGAGGGAAGAAUAGAGGUUCUUGAUGAAGAAAAAAUGGUUUUGACUCAUUUUAGGUGUAUGUCAUAAGUUAUAUGUCUUUUCGACAGGACAGAUAUAUGCAGGAAGAAAGGUGACAUCACAAAAAGAUUCACCUGAAGAGAGAAUGGUGAAAGGAAUGGAUCUGCCACAGAUUACAGUCCCAGUGACUGCAGAUGAGAUGCAUAAAUAAGUGGGCAUAGAACAAGUCAGGGAGAGCACAUGUUGCUUAGGCCAAAGCUGAACGCUCUUCUGUCUGUUGCAUUUCAUAUUCUCAGACCAGAAGAGGUGAGGAAUUCUUGCUAAGCUGAAGUGCUUCAUGAUGGAAUGUAUCCUGUCAAAGUAUUUGUAGAUCCUUUCUAUGCUCUUUUUAUCUAUGUCAUAUGGUAUUUUUUUUACUUUUGUUGAAAAUUAGCCUCCUCAUUUUCCAGCAGAGACAGCAUAGAAUUCUGUAUUGGGAUGGAAGAGUAACUUCUAGUUUCACAAUAGAGAUACAGAUUUUUCCUCUUUAGCAAAAAAUGCAGGAGAAAGCUGGAAGCCCUUCAGAACACAUUUUUCCCUCCUUCAUGAUGUUUCAGUGUAUUCAGCAUCAGGAGGUGUUUAAAGGCACAUUGGAUAGAUGUCAGCUAUUUUCCUUGUCAUUAAAGCUGAGAGAGAUUCAAUGUAUGGUGAUUAACUUCCCUAAGUAUAUUCAGAAUUAUAUUCUAAAGGCAACAGAUUCAUUAGCUCACUUAUAAUUUUAGAGUUAUAUAACCUGGGUUUAUAAAACUGACUGAAGGAGAAGAUUGUGGAUUAUCUUAUCUCAUCAAAGACUAAUGUUCACUUGAAACCCAUGUAGGAUUCCUGCUUUGCUGAAAUGGUUGGUAUUUAAGAUGCUGUUGGCCGUCUGGUUUAGUUUAAGCAACUCUAUGAUGGAGCCUUCAGCUCACUCUGACACCCUCCCUAUAUUCAUUCCAAGUGGCCUGACCCUGCUUCCAUCUCCUGUGUAUUUCCUGCUUACACUUGAGUGAUGACAGGAGUUCCUUGUUCAUCCAAGCAAGUCUCUUGCCUUCUUUGGUUUCUUUGGGGUGCAUCCAUUGCAUUGGGAUGGAUCCACCCAUUGGGGUGCAUCAUUCUUGAGCCUGUAGGAAGUGAACCUUGAACAUCAACCAGGUCUCUUGGACCCCUCUUCCCACAGGAUCUGUUCCCAUGGAUUCUUCCAAGAAGAUCCCUAAAGAGGCUGAAGUCAGCUGUCCUGAAAUCCAUGGUUACAAUUAUUCACUGCCCUGCUUCUUCCUUGCCCAGUGGUGAACUCCACAAUCUCAUGGUCACUGUGGCCAAGGCAGCCCCCAGCCUUCACAUCUCUGACAAAGCCUUCCCUGUUUGUCACUCUGAGCUAACCAGGACACCAUUCCUCGUGGGAUCCUCCCCUACCUGUGACAGGAAGUUGUCAACAAGGCUUUACAGGAGCUUCCUGGGCUCUUUGUUCCUCGUGUUACUUCUCAACUCUUUGAAAAGUAUUCAAAACUCCCAGGAUAUUACUAGAGAAGUAAAUACUUCCAUCAUUUGAUCAUCUCUAUUUCUGCCAUCCACAGAAAAAAAUGGGUUGGCACAGGUUUCAUCCUGUGAACAGAUUUUUCAUUAAUUGAUGGACAAUUAACUGUCAUCUCUGAAGAAGAAUCCAGAUGAGUAUUUUCAAAUUUUGGGGUACAAUAUUUCCCUCAGCAGGCAGUAAAAAAGUAAAAAGUUUAAAAUUAAAAUUGGAAAAGUCCCACUGCCUCCCAUGUUUUUCUUUAGUAUGUCACUUAAACAAAUAUCUGGUUUGCCUGUUUUCUACCACUGGGGACAGGGCUAUUGAAUAGUUUGCACCAGAAAGCAUCUCUCCAUAGGAAAAAAAUAAUAUUCUUUAGCAUUUACUCUCAAAUGUGAAAGCCCUCAACUCAGUUGAAAGUUUUUCAUGCUGAAUUUCUCCAAACAGCAAGCUAAUAAUAUGUUACUUUCUUAUUUAUUAUGACUGAUUUUUAUUUCUUUUUAUAAUUGCACUUCAUUAAAUGUAUCUCCAGAGAAACUACAUCAAAGUUGUCUCCAUGUAAAUGCAAUUAAUGUAACGAGUUGAAAUGUUAGUCCCUGUCAUUGAGAUAUCCACAACACAUCCUAGUCUAAUCAAAUAGGAGUGACACUUAAAAAUAGUUCAAGAGCCUAAAGCGUUUUGCUAUCUGAACAGUGGAGGGCAAGUAUUUAGUUCCAGUGCUGCAGCCCACCCACUGCAAGCACAGGCAUUUUUGCUUUCAAAAUUAGUCUUUAUUGUUCUAUGGGUUUUUGGUUUGUUUCUUUUUUGCAGUAAUAUAGUCCAUGAUCUUUCAAUAUUGAGGUACCUUCAUACCAGUAUCUCCAUAUUUUUUUUGAUAUUAAAUGGCAAGGAUCAUACUGACAGUCUUGAAAUUCUCUUGCCUUAUUGGGUAAUUACAGUAGUCCCUUCUCUUUGACAGAAUAUUCCUUGACAAUGGAGAGGAGGUAAACCUUGGAAGAAAAUUGUAGAUAUGAAGGAUUUUCAGUCUACACUUUCCAGGACCAAGCAGUCUGUAAGAUUCUCCAUGGAUGCUCAUCACAAUUUGCCUUAAUUUCUUGACUCUUUAUGUUUGUCAGGGAGGUGGCGGGAUUUCAUGAGCAUAUGUGCAAAAGGUGAGGCUUCAAUGAUAUUUUUAAUGAAAAUGUGGGAUGGCUGUCUUACCCUAUAGGAUACUCUCUUGCAAGGCAGAAAUCCUGGUUAAUUUCUCCAAGUCAUAUAUUUUUUCAACAAUAUAAGAUAAGUAAAAUUGUCUACAUUACAUUGGCUUUCAUACUGGCUUUAGGACUGGCUUUGAGACCCUGGCAUGGAAACACACAAUGAACAUAUAUGGGUACAUUGAUGAAAGGAACCCAUGUUCCUUUGCAGUCUAGCUGUUAUUGAAAACAGCUAUGUAAUGGUUCAAACUCCAAGGACCAACCAUGUGCUUCAGUGCUAAGGUUUUAGACAGUCUAAAUUGUGAACAAUACCACAUCUGUGCUCCCCUGUAUUUGUUGCCAAUUGGGCAACUGUAAAGAUUAUCCACUAGUGAGUCAGGUGUUCUAUGAAAUGCAAGUGGUUUAACCAAAACCAGAACAGAGUAAAACUGUGCAUGCAAAAUAAACUUCUAAGUGAUUAAAAAGAAAACAAAAUCACAUCACAAGUAGACAAUAUGCCUGUGAGAAAAAAAAAGGUGCAUUUUAUGACUAAAUACCCAAGGCAUGCUUAUCAUUCUUAAUUCAGCAUGCAAAACACUAUGCUGAGGUGCCAUGCAGAAAGAGACAUGCAAGAAUCCAAUUUCAUUAGUUGCAAAACAAAAAAGGCAUUUAAUCAGAACAGCUCCUUAAUCUGCCAGAGUUGUGGCUGUCAAGCAUUGCAAGGAAGGCCAGGGAAGAGUGGGAAAACAGGUGUAUGGCACAGAGGGAAUAAAAUAGAGUAGAUCCUGUUAACUUAGAGAAAUAUGUGCUCCAUGCUGAAAGAGUGACCAAUUAGUGCCCCUGAAAUCCUUCCACAUGGGUGAGGAUUUCAAACUCUCUAACAUCAAAAUAAUAGAUAUGAAAAUAAGUUUUAAAAUUUCUACUAAAAUAGAACCCUUUCUCCUACCAAUAAAAAAUAAACUAUGAAUUAGAAUAUUAGAAAUACUACUGAGAACAAAAUACAGGAAUAUCAAGCAAAUUAUCAAGUACAAAGCAUAGACUAUAUCCAUGAAACUAUGUGACUUUCUGCAUCAAAAAUGCUAUUUGACUUAGGAAAUGUCUGUAGAAAAAUAAAGGUACAAGUCAGACCUAAUGUUCUUAAUAAACAAGCUUUCCACAUAAGGUUUUAAUCUUUAUAAGGAAAACUUGGAAAAUUAAUUCUGAAAGAAAUGCAUAGUAAUUCUUCCUUGACAGGCAGACAAAAGGAGUACAAAGAAGUUUGGGCAGAUCACUUUGUUAAUGCUGAGACAGUACUGCUUCAGCUGAGCAACUGUAGUCCAGGGACAAAUGAGACCAGAAAAUCUAUGAAAGAAUGUUCAGCAGUUCCUCUGAGAAACUGUCACUUAUCACAAGCAUGUUAGACAGAAGGUAAAAAAUAUUUUUGAGGCCCAUUUCUCAAGAGAUAAAAUCAGAAAGCAGUUUUUUAUACCAUGCUCAGUUGGCCUCUUGUGGUCUAUGUUUAAAUAUAUCAGUAAAACCCAACUGUCACUGUUGCAGUUGUGAUAUUAAUGGAAAAGACUUCUGGAUUAGAAAAAAAUGUGUUUAUGGCUAAAGUUCCACUAUUAUCUGCUGUAAAUGUCUGAGAACCUCUAAAUACUUCUCUUUCAUAAGAAUUAAAAUAUAAGUCUUAGAAGUUAUUUGAUAUUGAUACAAUUAUUGUGGCUUAAAGGAGGACAUCCAUGAAAUUUGUCAGUAUCAAGGAUGAAUACUAACCAGCAAAACUAGAGAACCAGCUACAUGAAGAAUCUUAGCAAAAAAUCAUCCUUAUAUGGCUUCCUUGAAUCCCUUGUGUACAUUUCAUUAAUUUUUUAUAGUUAAGACUGCGGUGUCAUGAUGAAACUUUGAGUCGGUGAAGAAUAUUUCAGCUUAAUUUGCUAAAAUCAUCACAAGACCAUUAACUGACCUCCAGUAGAUUGAUGUGACUGAAAAAUGCAUUAAUUGAUAUAUUUAAAAAACUGUAUUUAUUAAUGAAACCUAAGGAACUGAGCUUUACUUUUAAUGUUAAUUGUUUGAGCACUAUCAAAUGCCAUAUUAAGUGAACUACUUUUCUAUAAAUUCUUGCUUAAAAUUUG